UAUGACUCUCGGCAAUGGAUAUCUUGGCUCUUGCAUCGAUGAAGAGCGCAGCGAAAUGCGAUACGUGGUGCGAAUUGCAGAAUCCCGUGAACCAUCGAGUUUUUGAACGCAAGUUGCGCCUGAGGCCAACUGGCUGAGGGCACGUCCGCCUGGGCGUCAUGC
rnacentral:rRNA from 1 species